GCGUCGGCAAGGCGUUUGGAGCGAGGGGAGCGGGCGCGGUGGCUGCGGUUUUCAUUCUAAAAUGGGAUAAUUCACUCUUGCUUGGAAGAGCUGGACAAGCCAUCACUUUAAACAAAGGAAAACAGGGAGAAUCGGUGCACCCUCUGUAUUCUUAGAAGCAACCUUCACGCUCCCUUGUACCGGCUGGUGCAGAGUUACCAAAAAGCGUGACUCAGCCACUUUCCCAGGAGACAUAAAGAGCCAGUUGCAGUGACUCCACCGCGCUGCGCAAGAGGUUUGCAGGAUUUGUGGCUGCCACUUUAGUCCCUGACGCUGCAGAUGCACAUCUUUUCCCAGUGAUGGGAUUACAUCUUCUGUAUAGGAAGGAUUUUUCAGAAGGGGAAAUCAGUCUGUGGAAGUAGCUUUUCUGCUGGAAUGACUGACAGGAUGGCUACAAAAGAUCGAUAACUGAGUUGCACGAGGUCUCAGCCUGUUAAAGCUACUGCCAGGAAAGGAAAGAGAGAAGAAACACAGCCGGAGACACAGUAUGCGCUUUCUUAUCAGUCAAAGGAAUGAAGAGCACGGCAUCCUCCCUCCCCAGCCUGUUUCCCUGUAUGAUUCUCGCCUUUUUCUGAACAGGACGUUACAUGCGAUAAUUGUGCAGCAUGCUUGGAUGGGAUGGGGGUGUAGGAACAGGUUUGGUGUGCCAUUCAAGUUGGAAACGCGCCUCGCUGGAUUAGUGUCAUUUACCUCAGCUCCUGCCGUAAUCGCUCUGGUUGCUAACAAGUCAUAUUCAGAAGACUGAAGGAAAUUCUGAUUCUGGGUUCAAUUACGGGGCUUAAUUGCUCUACAAAAUAUUACGCGUUAUACAAAUACACUAGAGUAGUGGAUUUACGCUCACAUGCUUGCAUAUCAAAAAGAAGAUUGCAUUCCUAAGGAAGCAAUCUCCUUAACUGAGAGUAAGAGGCUUUAAAAGAUCUUCGGCUUGAAUGAAAAUGCCUUCUUUUUGGAGCCUGGCCCACAUCCCUAGGUAUAAAGUCCGCUAGGACUUUGUGAGAACGUCUAACAACAAAACUGUGGAGCUGGGGGGACUGGAUUCAGCGUUAGAGCACUACUCCUGCCCUGCUAAAACAAAAAGAAAUGAGUAUCCAGAAGCUCUAUUUGCCAAAUCAAAAUGCUAUUUGUUUGCAGGGGAAGAAAUGAACCAACAUUUAUUGAUCCCCAAAAAAGAUAAUUCUGUUCAGCACUAGAAUGUCAAUUACGUUGAUCUUAUCAGAACACCUCAGUGAUAAAAAGGCUACCAAUUUUCUCAUGUUGUAUCAGUGUCCAUACAGUAUAAAGGCACCCGUGCUGGCAGGUAGAAACGGGAUGAAAUACAGCAAUCCAAUCCUCUGAUUUUACAGCAAGGCAAUUAUUUUCUCCUGCGUUUUCUAAGAAAAAACUUAUUGCAUGAAAUGGAAAAAAAAAAAAAACAAAAGAAAAUCCACAUAUCCCAACAUAGCUUUUUGCCCUUAACAUAGCUUUGUGAUGUCGUCUUUGGAUGAACAAAAUAGUUUCAACAUUUCAAGUGUGUAUCUUAUUAUACUUUACCCUUCUCCUCAGCUUCAAUGCUAUUCACGGCAAUUAGAUUACCUAAUCCGUAUGUUUGCUUUGAAUCAAGAGAAAUUCAGAAAAGCUAGUGCCACAAGCUUUACCCUCUCUGUUUGCUUAGGAUUUUCUCUCUUAUGAGACUGACAUUAACUUGGACUAUAAUGAAAGGUGGAUUUUAAAUUAUUUGGGUUUUAUUCAGAAAGUUGGCGGACUGAAACUGUUUACAGUUCUUGAUACUCCAAGAGUCCAGGAUUAUCUACUCAGUUCUUUUCUGUUUAGCCAAUCUUACUGGAUCAAGAGUUACAUUUAAAACUUUCACAGCAAGAAAUUUACUUUUCAAACUUACACCACCACUGAAGCAGAUUCUAGGGCACAGAAAAAAUAUAACAAUGCAGUUUUAUUUUUUUAUAUUUAUUUUUCCAUUUCCAGCAGUUUCUUGAGUCCCGUUUUCAAUAAAAGCAAUUAGUAAUUCCAUCUUUGUAAUGAUAGAUUAGUAAUCUAUCUCUGUAAACGGCAUUGCACACACAGGACAAGAACUAUUGAGCUCCAUCCAAAAUUAUGGUUCUUUACAUGCGCACAGGGAAAUCCAUUGCAAAAGCAUGAUGCGCGGUUCAUAAUCUUUUUGUAAAAUUGUAAUAAGCUUGAAGUACAAUACAUACAUUUCUGUUUUAAAGGCAUCUAUAAUCUUUUUAAUCAUCUUCAUUAUUGUAAUGCCUAGGGCCCAAUCAAGCAGGGGGUCCCAAAUUUGCCUCAUCACACUAAAAAUCAACAAAAGGCUGCUUGCCUUCUGUCUUGCCUGUGUCUCGCCUUCUGCUGUGCCUGUGGACAUAGAUCUCUUUUGGGUUUUUUUGCCAGAUCAAUUCCCUGAACUAGCCCCCUGCAAGGUCACACAGAUGUCAGUGCACAGGACAGAAAGGAAACGCAGAAUUCCUGAUAAUGGGACUUGUGAGAAGCAGGCAAGUAGGACCACUGUAGUACCAAUUUAGUUUGGUUUACACUGCUGUGAAACUGCAAUAUGCAGGCCUGGUUCCUCAGUCAGUUUAUAUCCGUCUAAAUCCUGCAGCCAAAUGAAGGGAGUACCGCACUUUCCUGCAGUCUCAUCCUUCCCCAGCGUUAGGACUAACGAGGCAAGCGAGACAGCCAGACUGUGCUGUCUUGAAACUAAACGGAGCUUUCAUGACACAACAGCUGUCAUCAAGAGGUCCCACCAGCCCUCAUCUGCCCCCAUCUAGCUUCUGGCUGUCUGCUUCUACUUUCCCUGUGCCAAUUCUGGCACUUGCUUAACCCCAGAGUGAGGCAAUUUAGGAAUCUGAAUCAGCAAACAGCCAAUUCUGUGGGGGAAAAAAAAGUGUGUGUGUGUGUGUGAUAAAUUAAAAAAAAAAAUUACCUCCCUGAAUUUUUUACAUGAAGUCAAAUAAACACCAGUUCUGGUGUUGAAAAGGGAAGGAUUGUAUACAUGUCAGCAGGGCAAGAAAUGUACUGCCUGUACCACCAGCAGCUUGCAGUGUAACACGGAGCCUCCCAGUAUCAGAGGGAUGGCAGACCAACAUCACCAUCCACACUGCCAUUGACAGGGGAUGAAUAACUUCCCGAGUCCUGUGCUUCUGCCCGUAGGACCUGUGAGCAAGCCAACUCACUGAUACCAGCUCUGUCAUUUAGCCCAUUAAAUUGACCCAAAGUGGUCAGUGAGCGCAGGACCUGGCUGUCCUGGUUUGAGCAACGCAGGAUUAAUUUCUCUUCUAAUGCUUGGGAAAACUGCACUUUUAGAGGACUCUAGUGUCUGAAUUUGUGAAAAUAUUUACUUCAUAGCCAGCUAUGGUAUGCAGGUUUCAAGGUCUCAGCGUUUUCGAGCCUAGCCAGGUGCAGGGAUGAGGAGAAGCAAGACUUGGGCAUUCACCCAAGCUGGACAACAGGAUUAUUUCAUACCAUGAACGUGACAUUCAAUAUAAAGUAGAAAGUUUGCUGUGUAGUGUUCCCUCUCUCCUGUGAUGGCAGGGGUCCAUAAAACUUCCUGCCCCGGUGCCGAACCACUGAGCCCUCCCAAAGCCAUAGUGCUCGCAGUGUCCGACAUUUGCUGUCCACUGCCGGGAGUGCACAGCUUCUGCUGAUGGAAU